GACGAACGCUGGCGGCGCGCCUAACACAUGCAAGUCGAACGGAGUCAAGAGGAGCUUGCCUUUCUUGACUUAGUGGCGAACGGGUGAGUAACGCGUGAGUAACCUGCCCUGGAGUGGGGGACAACAGUUGGAAACGACUGCUAAUACCGCAUAAGCCCACGGAUCUGCAUGGAUCUGCGGGAAAAGGAUUUAUUCGCUCUAGGAUGGACUCGCGUCCAAUUAGCUAGUUGGUGAGGUAACGGCCCACCAAGGCGACGAUUGGUAGCCGGACUGAGAGGUUGAGCGGCCACAUUGGGACUGAGACACGGCCCAGACUCCUACGGGAGGCAGCAGUGGGGGAUAUUGCACAAUGGGGGAAACCCUGAUGCAGCGACGCCGCGUGGAGGAAGAAGGUUUUCGGAUUGUAAACUCCUGUCGUUAGGGACGAUAAUGACGGUACCUAACAAGAAAGCACCAGCUAACUACGUG
rnacentral:rRNA from 1 species